CCUACGGGAGGCAGCAGUGGGGAAUAUUGGGCAAUGGGCGCAAGCCUGACCCAGCAACGCCGCGUGAAGGAAGAAGGCUCUCGGGUUGUAAACUUCUUUUGACAGGGAAGAGUAGAAGACGGUACCUGUCGAAUAAGCUACGGCGAACUACGUGCCAGCAGCCGCGGUAAUACGUAGGUGGCAAGCGUUGUCCGGAUUUACUGGGUGUAAAGGGUGUGUAGCCGGGUUGGCAAGUCAGAUGUGAAAUCCUGCGGCUUAACCGCAGAACUGCAUUUGAAACUGUUGGUCUUGAGUACUGGAGAGGCAGGCGGAAUUCCUGGUGUAGCGGUGAAAUGCUUAGAUAUUAGGAAGAACACCGAUGGCGAAGGCAGUCUACUGGACAGCAACUGACGGUGAGGCGCGAAAGCGUGGGGAGCAAACAGGAUUAGAUACCCUAGUAGUC
rnacentral:rRNA from 1 species